rnacentral:lncRNA from 1 species
UAUUCAGCUUAAUUGUUUAAUAGAGGAGGGACAAAUUGAAAAUGGAAAUGGCCAUAAUAGCUAUGAGUUCCAGUUUUCCUUAUUUAAAAAAGUUAUUGCAAGAAAACCCAGAGGUUGGCCAGAGGUAUCUGAUGAAGCUAACAUUGAUUCAGAAUUUGGAUCCUUUUGGAUUGGCUAUGUCUGAUUUGAACUACAGCGUUAAUGGCAUUCCACCAGUCACAUACCCAGACAUAUUUCCCUGUUGUGUUAACGCAUAGUUUUUAUACACAUGAGCAAAUGAAAGCUUACAAAACCCUUGGUGCUGGUCAUGGUUGAAAAGGUGAAACAUUCACAAAAACCAAACGCUAAAGCUCUUAGGGCUUGGUGUAUUAUCACCAAAGAUGGUACUGUUGCAAAUGGACACUGCACUUGUAUGGCAGGCAACAGUGAAGUUUGUAGCCACAUUGGCGCUUUGCUUUUCUUGUACCGAUGUGGCCUUUGCCGUCCUUGUCCACAAAAGUGCCAAUUGUUUCAUUAGCCGAAAUGGACUUUGGACCAACUGCUACUUCGUCAACCGAUUCAAUGAUUAUACCCUCAAUAUCCAAGGACUCACUGGUAGAUUUAUAUUUUUUAAAGAGCAUCGAAAGUUUAGGACGUACUGCUGCUAUCGUGAGGAUUGUGGAACCUACGCCUCCAUCGCCUCACUGCUAAAAUCUUGUGUGACUAUGCAAAAGCAUUGAUUGAUUGAUGAGAAGCUUGAUUUUUAUGGAGUACGUAGAAUUUCUUUCAACUGGUUUAAGUCCUAUCUUCAAAACUGGCAACAGUUUGUUAGAGCUAACGAGUCCGUCUCUGACUGUAAAUUGAUUCCCAAUAGAGUCCCACACGGUUCUAUACUUGGACCUAUUCUUUUCCUGCUAUACAUCAAUGACAUUACCUACAUGAAAAUUAAAAAGGCAAAAUUACUCUCUUUGCGAACGACACAAGCGUAACAUGGAGUGAUUCUGAUGCUGUGUUCCUCCACUCUAGGGUUCCUAGCUAUCUCGUUAUGAUCAAGGCUUGGUCUGACUCUAGUUUUCUGGGUUUUAACGUCAAUAAAACGGUACCCUAUCUUAUAGACGAGCUUUACAACCCUUGCUCCUUCAUAACAGCAAUAUUAAAUUCCGUUGAGUCAGUAAAAUUUCUGGGUUUGAACAUUAACGCUAACCUAAAGUGGUCUACUCGUGUUGACUUCCUAGCAAAGAAACAAUUUGAUCAGUUUCUAGAGAACUGAAUGUGUUCUCCGCCAGACUCGCUUACUUCUCUCUAUUUGAGUCUCAGAUCCGCUUUGGCCUACCCUUUUGGGGCUGCUGUAACACCCCGCAAUUUCAAACUAUAUUUAAACUUCAGAAAAGAGCAAUUUGCUACUUGUUUGGCCUGAAGGGUGGAGCUCAUUGCAAGCACUACUUUGAAAACCUUACAAUUCCUACACUUCCCGCUUUGUUUCUCUUGGAGACUGUCUGCUUGAUACGCAAACAUCUAGUAACUUUUCCAAAACGGCCACAACAUAAGUAACUCAUUAAAAACGCAAUUAUUUACAAUGGCAAGAAAUUAUACGAUCAUCUUCCAUCCCAUCUUAAAUCUCUAAAUACGUCGGACAUCACAUGCGGUAUUUACCGGGGCGUUAAUUGGAUUUGUAUGGUAGUUACAAUUUUUUACUUCGGGGUCAUCAGUUUGUAAGCUCAUGUUUAUUUUUAUUGUUUAUCAACGGGACCGCAAGUUGCAAGCGGAGCGGAAUCGUAUUAGGUUCAAGUUCAGCGAGCAAAAUUUCAAUAUCUCGGACGACACUAACGUCAAUUGUUAUAACUAUCAAAUGGGUAUGAUCACGAUCCGCUUGCAAUAACAUGAACAAGGUCAACAGUUGCUUCUUGUUAUGGUUUGGGGUGCUACUUGAUUCAAUUCACCCAUGUUAUCCACUUUUAAAUUGUGUGGUUAUUCUGCACCGCUUGUAACGAUAGGUGAUUAACUGAUUCUGAUAACACCUCAGUGUUUGUAUCUUCUGUCCAUAACUAUUGUACGUGAUAUAUUUUGUACUGUUUUAUUAUAUUUUUUAAUUUUUUACCAUUGUUGACUAUACUGUACGUACUUUAUGUUGUAGUAUUUGGUUUUUUUUACUCGCUUUGUGCA